rnacentral:rRNA from 1 species
UGGGGAAUAUUGCACAAUGGGCGCAAGCCUGAUGCAGCCAUGCCGCGUGUGUGAAGAAGGCCUUCGGGUUGUAAAGCACUUUCAGCGAGGAGGAAGGUGGUGAACUUAAUACGUUCAUCAAUUGACGUUACUCGCAGAAGAAGCACCGGCUAACUCCGUGCCAGCAGCCGCGGUAAUACGGAGGGUGCAAGCGUUAAUCGGAAUUACUGGGCGUAAAGCGCACGCAGGCGGUUUGUUAAGUCAGAUGUGAAAUCCCCGGGCUCAACCUGGGAACUGCAUUUGAGACUGGCAAGCUAGAGUCUCGUAGAGGGGGGUAGAAUUCCAGGUGUAGCGGUGAAAUGCGUAGAGAUCUGGAGGAAUACCGGUGGCGAAGGCGGCCCCCUGGACGAAGACUGACGCUCAGGUGCGAAAAGCGUGGGGAGCAAAACAGGAUUAGAUACCCUGGUAGUCCACGCUGUAAAACGAUGUCGAUUUUGGAGGUUGUGCCCUUGAGGCGUGGCUUCCGGAGCUAACGCGUUAAAAUCGACCGCCUGGGGAGUACGGCCGCAAGGUUAAAAACUCAAAAGGAAUUGACGGGGUCAUAGCUGUUUCCU